GAUGAAGAACGUAGCGAAAUGCGAUAAGUAGUGUGAAUUGCAGAAUUCAGUGAAUCAUCGAAUCUUUGAACGCACAUUGCGCCCCUUGGUAUUCCAUGGGGCAUGCCUGUUCGAGCGUCAUUUGUACCUUCAAGCUUUGCUUGGUGUUGGGUGUUUGUCUCGCCUUUGCGUGUAGACUCGCCUUAAAAUAAUUGGCAGCCGGCGUAUUGAUUUCGGAGCGCAGUACAUCUCGCGCUUUGCACUCAUAACGACAGCGUCCAAAAGUACAUUUUACACUCUUGACCUCGGAUCAGGUAGGGAUACCCGUUGAACUUAAGCAUAUCAAUAAGCGGAGGA
rnacentral:misc_RNA from 1 species